rnacentral:rRNA from 1 species
AUACAGAGGGUGCGAGCGUUAAUCGGAAUUACUGGGCGUAAAGCGCGCGUAGGCGGCUACUUAAGUCAGAUGUGAAAUCCCCGGGCUCAACCUGGGAACUGCAUCUGAUACUGGGUAGCUAGAGUUUAGGAGGGGGAAGUAGAAUUUCAGGUGUAGCGGUGAAAUGCAUAGAGAUCUGAAGGAAUACCAGUGGCGAAGGCGGCUUCCUGGCCUAAAACUGACGCUGAGGUGCGAAAGCGUGGGUAGCAAACGGGAUUAGAAACCCCAGUAGUCC